GGGGAAUUUUGGACAAUGGGCGCAAGCCUGAUCCAGCCAUGCCGCGUGUCUGAAGAAGGCCUUCGGGUUGUAAAGGACUUUUGUCAGGGAAGAAAAGGCUGUUGCUAAUAUCAGCGGCUGAUGACGGCACCUGAAGAAUAAGCACCGGCUAACUACGUGCCAGCAGCCGCGGUAAUACGUAGGGUGCGAGCGUUAAUCGGAAUUACUGGGCGUAAAGCGAGCGCAGACGGUUACUUAAGCAGGAUGUGAAAUCCCCGGGCUCAACCUGGGAACUGCGUUCUGAACUGGGUGACUAGAGUGUGUCAGAGGGAGGUAGAAUUCCACGUGUAGCAGUGAAAUGCGUAGAGAUGUGGAGGAAUACCGAUGGCGAAGGCAGCCUCCUGGGAUAACACUGACGUUCAUGCUCGAAAGCGUGGGUAGCAAACAGGAUUAGAUACCCUGGUAGUCCACGCCCUAAACGAUGUCAAUUAGCUGUUGGGCAACUUGAUUGUUCAGUAGCGUAGCUAACGCGUGAAAUUGACCGCCUGGGGAGUACGGUCGCAAGAUUA
rnacentral:rRNA from 1 species